GAAGAAGAAGAAGAGAACAACAAAACCUAGCCUCCCCCUUUGCGCCAGUCGGUCCAUAUAUGUUUCGUACAGAUCCCCUGUCGUCCCGCAUCCGUACUAGUUAUGAGCCAAGAAUAGCUCAUAACAUUACCCCCCACUUUGAAAAGCUCUAUCCUCAGAGCUGGCUGGUAACACAGGAUCCCACUAAAACAGGUGCACCAGACGAUCGAACUCCUGUUGAGAAAGCCAGGUAUCUGCAUCCCCCCCAGUGUUCAUCCAGCAAACCAGAUAACGCUUAAUCAUCCAUCAACGCAGCUGGCGAGUCUCCACAUCAAUCACCUUAUUUGGCACAACCAGAUGCUAGUCCCCCAACGAUCGGACUGGAACUUCCACUGUCGGCAAGGGAGUAGGACCAUAAUGCAACUUGAGCUCGGAAACGUGGAACACAUCAUGGAGCUUGCACCCUUGCGGAAGAGCCAGCCGAAAUGCCACCUCAUUGAUCCUUUCAACCACCUGAAAAGGACCGAAGUAGCGUUGAGUCAGCUUGGAUCGAGAGCCCACUCGGCGGCCUAGAGUGUGAAGAACUUGAUGUACACCAGGUCGCCAAUAACGAAUGUUCGAAAACUCCGAUGCUUGUCAACUUGAAGCUUCAUGGUUGCACAAGCUGCCUCCAACCUGCUAUGAACUUGUUGAUGCAACUCUCGAAUGGUCUCCAGAUGUCCAGAAACUGUCACCUCUGGGACCGGAAGUGCGGGAGCUGGCCAAUGUAGGAUUCGACGCCCAUAGAGAAUCUCCAAAGGAGCAAACCUUGUAGCAGAAUGACAGGCCGAAUUAUAUGCGAAUUCCGCAUAUGGGAGCCAGUGCAGCCAUGAUGUAGGAUGAUCCAGUGUGUAUCCCCUGAGAAAUACCUCUAUUGUCUGGUUGGUUUGUUCUGCUUGCCCAUCCGAUUGGGGGUGAUAUGCUGAACUGAAGCUGAGCUUGGUCCCAAGAGCUGAAAAAAGGUGACGCCAGAAUGAGCUGAGGAACUUCGGAUCCCGGUCAGAAACAAUCUCCCGAGGCAGGCCAUGGAGACAAAUCACUUCUCGAGAAAAUAACUCGGCUAUCCUUGCUGCAGACACCGAAAUUGUUGUAGGUAGAAACUGAGCUGUCUUGCUGAAACGGUCAACCACCACCAUUAUCAUGUCUUUUCUCUGGCAACGAGGUAGACCCCCCACAAAGUCCAUUGAAAUGCUAGUAAAGGGACCAUCUGCAACUGGUAAUGGCUAGAGAAGACCUGGAGAAGCCACUGUCUCUGUCUUUACCACCUGACAUACUGGACAUUCUCGAAUCCACGCCUUCACUUCUCGCUGCAUGCCUUUCCAAACAAAGCGAAGCUUGAUUGCUGCCAAUGUUGCUGCCACCCCUGGAUGUCCAGCGAGAAUUCCCUGAUGACACUCAUGGAAAAUUUCUUGCUGCAAUGGAUGCUUGUUGUUGAGAAACACCCGUCCCUUUGACCAGAGAAUGCCAUCAAUGAGGACCAGCUUGGGAUGCUGCUCCCCAUUCUGAAGCUGUUCUAGAAUCUGUUGAAGGGCCACAUCUUGCGCGUACCCCUCCCGAAUUUGCUCUAUGUACUCUGGUUGAAGGCAAGAAAUCCCAUAGAGAGCUGAUUCCUCGGUGCAUGCAAACUUCUGUGAGAGAGCAUCUGGAAGCACAUUGGAAGCACCUAGUCGAUACUCGAUAGUGAAGUCGAAGGCUUGAAGUUCUUCCACCCAACGCAUCUGCUUCUUGUUGAGGUGGGGUUGAGUGAGCAAAAAGCUUCAGCUGUGAUAAACUCCGCCAACCGCCGAUUCACAAAUGUGUGUGAAGCGCCAGAGUCAACCAGUCCGAAUGCCACUCUGCCAUUAAUUGUUCCUUGCACCCGGAAACACUGCGGACCAGUCUUUCCAAAAUAUGCUGAGCAGGAGAUAAAUGCCUUGCCACCUGAACUGUCAGGGUCCUCCAAGCCCGGGCUGUUGUUCCCUGAUUCCCAAACAAAGAUCUCCUCACUCUCAUCAACCAUGUCCAUGUCGACUGGAACAAAUUCCCCAGAAGCAGCCUUGCGAAAAUGUAGCAUCGCCACCUUUGCCUUGGGAACUGUAGCACCCUUCUGAGAUGGACAAAACAAAUGGUGGCCUCGUGUCCAUUUCUGCCCACAAUCAAAGCAUUUGCCUAGCUUCAAAUCCUUUGAGCGUUUGGCCCGUUCCUGAGUGGAUAAAUCUCGCCAAGGCUUGCGUUCCUUAUCACUGUUCACUGUCGGCAACACUGUCGGCAUAGGGGUCGGUGAUGCAGCUGGGAAAUCCUGACAAUGAAGCCUGCUUAUAUAAGGACGACGCAAUUGAGACUCCCAUUCACGAAACCGCUGGUCUGCAUUCAAUGCUGCCACCAUUGCCUAACGCACAGAAACUGGUUUGGUUUGAGCGACAUCACCUGCCAUUGAUGAAGGCAGCGCUGCUACGUAACGCUGGGCCAAAAUCUCGUCUGAAACUCCCACUACCUCAUAUCUGGCCCAUAACUAUGCUGUAUUGAAUGCCUGGAGAGUUUGAUGUUGCCAGUCAUAGCGAAGGUCGCACAACUUGUUGAAGGGCAGCUCCAAAACUGGGGUCAAGAUGAAAGUGUCUGUGAUCAAGACUUUGAACUAUUCCCAGUCUGGGAAUAUGCGAGCUCGUUCCAAGUUAUGAAACCACUCAGAUGCCAGAUCCUUCAAGAAGAUUGAUGCAAAAGGGAACCUUAUCCACCCCCUUGGUAUCUCGCCACACAAAACACCACUCCAGCUUGUGGAGCCAAUCUUGAAGUCUUAGUUGAUCAUUUGAGCCAUCGUACUCCAGUAUAUUGAGCUUCUCCCGAUCCUGCCACCGUGAUCCCAUCCCUGGACCCCUCCCGAGUAUCCCCUUGGUCCCUCCUUCCGGAACUGGUGACUUCAUCUUCUCCAGCAAGUCAUCAUACCAAGGUCGAUCACCUGUUGGGGGUAAUUCAGGGCUCGAAUCUUGGAACCAAUCUUCGUCAGAAAACCGGUGCACGAUAUCUUUCAAAUUAGGGUCUCCUCGAUCCUUGACCCUAGACCCCAUUUGUUCUUGCUUCUCUGCCAAAACCCACUGCUGCUCUCCCAACUCCUCUAUCUUGCCACCCAUAGUAGCCUGAUUGUGCUCGAUGAUGGCCAAGGUACGCUGCAAUUGUUGGAACCUCUCUAAGUCCUACUGAUGAUUCGUCACAUAGCACUGCAUGAAAGACUGCAACACCUCCCUCAACUCACCAACCAGCUCAGGCACUACCUGUGGAGAAUUCACUAGAUCGACCACCUCAACAUUGCUGGAUUCUCCAUCGGCUGAAGGGGAAGAUUUCACCUCUUUUCUUCCCUUGUUCCAUGGUGGCAUUGCUUCUUUCCGGUGCCUCACUCUUGCCCAAGCCCAGAUCACCCACGACAGCCUAGGGUAAAUGAUCGCCGCCGCAAUCACCUCCCGUCGGAUACCCUGCUGAGACAGCUGUACCCUAGAUUGGGCGAAUGCCGUGGUGCUAAGGAUGUGGACCAAUCCUCUCUCCCACGAUGCAAUAUCCCAAAUGAUCUUUGCCAAGGUCCUGAUCAAUGCUCCAAUACCAAAUGUUAGGAUGUGAAUCCAAUCAAAAAAGAUGUGAUCUUAAUGAGUGAAACAAGAGAGGAGAAAAGGCACAAGGCCAAGAAGAAGAGAACAACAAAACCUAGCCUCCCCCUUUGCGCCAGUCGGUCCAUAUAUGUCUCGUACGGAUCCCCCGUCGUCCCGCAUCCGUACUAGUUAUGAGCCAAGAAUAGCUCAUAACAGCCAGGCAUUGGAAUCUUACCUGGAAUGUCACUGAUAGUAAUCUUCCACAGUCAAUUCGAAGCAAAAAAAAUUAUCUGGGAGUGAUCGCUGGGGUAGCAAGCGCUGUGGCGGGGGUGGAGAAGCAACCAGGAAGUGGAGAAGAUCUAAUGGAAAAGCAAGCGCUCAUCGAAGGAAUGAAGCUCGAUGAGAUACUUCCGCACCAGUUUAGCUAUGACGACUUGAAGAUGGCAACUAGAAAUCCCGAGCUCAUGCUUGGAGCUUGAGGAUUUGGAUCCGUCUUCAAAGGAGAGCUUGCGGACGUUGCUGUGAAGAAGAUGGACGUAGAGAUCCAAGGCUCGUCGAAAGGACACUCGCAGUUCAAGGCCGAGGUGAUGCACUUCAACCUGGUAAAGCUCCGGGGCUUUUGCAUCCAGGGACCAGCCGCAUUGCUUGUCUACGAGUUCAUGCUCAAUGGAUCACUGGACAAGUUGAGGCUUGACAUCCAAGUGAUCCCGGCAAUCCUUCGUGGAGGUAUGUGAGUCCUCGAGCAACAUCUAUCGCAGCAGAUUUGCUGAUCCGCCACCUUUGUUAUCAUCGUUCUCGGUGAAGAUCCACCUGGACGAGAACUACUUUGGCCUGAGCAAGCUCAAGCC
rnacentral:lncRNA from 1 species